UGGGGAAUAUUGCACAAUGGGCGCAAGCCUGAUGCAGCCAUGCCGCGUGUGUGAAGAAGGCCUUCGGGUUGUAAAGCACUUUCAGCGGGGAGGAAGGGAGUAAAGUUAAUACCUUUGCUCAUUGACGUUACCCGCAGAAGAAGCACCGGCUAACUCCGUGCCAGCAGCCGCGGUAAUACGGAGGGUGCAAGCGUUAAUCGGAAUUACUGGGCGUAAAGCGCACGCAGGCGGUUGAUUGAGUCAGAUGUGAAAUCCCCGGGCUUAACCCGGGAAUUGCAUCUGAUACUGGUCAGCUAGAGUCUUGUAGAGGGGGGUAGAAUUCCAUGUGUAGCGAUGAAAUGCGUAGAGAUGUGGAGGAAUACCGGUGGCGAAGGCGGCCCCCUGGACAAAGACUGACGCUCAGGUGCGAAAGCGUGGGGAGCAAACAGG
rnacentral:rRNA from 1 species